rnacentral:rRNA from 1 species
UCCUGAAACCGUGUGCCUACAAAUAGUCAGAGCCCGUUAAUGGGUGAUGGCGUGCCUUUUGUAGAAUGAACCGGCGAGUUACGAUCCCGUGCGAGGUUAAGCUGAAGAGGCGGAGCCGCAGCGAAAGCGAGUCUGAAUAGGGCGUUUAGUACGUGGUCGUAGACCCGAAACCAGGUGAUCUACCCAUGUCCAGGGUGAAGUUCAGGUAACACUGAAUGGAGGCCCGAACCCACGCACGUUGAAAAGUGCGGGGAUGAGGUGUGGGUAGCGGAGAAAUUCCAAUCGAACCUGGAGAUAGCUGGUUCUCCCCGAAAUAGCUUUAGGGCUAGCCUUAAGUGUAAGAGUCUUGGAGGUAGAGCACUGAUUGAACUAGGGGUCCUCAUCGGAUUACCGAAUUCAGUCAAACUCCGAAUGCCAAUGACUUAUCCUUAGGAGUCAGACUGCGAGUGAUAAGAUCCGUAGUCAAGAGGGAAACAGCCCAGAUCGCCAGCUAAGGUCCCAAAGUGUGUAUUAAGUGGAAAAGGAUGUGGAGUUGCUUAGACAACUAGGAUGUUGGCUUAGAAGCAGCCACCAUUUAAAGAGUGCGUAAUAGCUCACUAGUCGAGUGACUCUGCGCCGAAAAUGUACCGGGGCUAAAUACACCACCGAAGCUGCGAAUUGAUACCAAUGGUAUCAGUGGUAGGGGAGCGUUCUAAGUGCAGUGAAGUCAGACCGGAAGGACUGGUGGAGCGCUUAGAAGUGAGAAUGCCGGUAUGAGUAGCGAAAGACGGGUGAGAAUCCCGUCCACCGAAUGCCUAAGGUUUCCUGAGGAAGGCUCGUCCGCUCAGGGUUAGUCAGGACCUAAGCCGAGGCCGACAGGCGUAGGCGAUGGACAACAGGUUGAUAUUCCUGUACCACCUCUUUAUCGUUUGAGCAAUGGAGGGACGCAGAAGGAUAGAAGAAGCGUGCGAUUGGUUGUGCACGUCCAAGCAGUUAGGCUGAUAAGUAGGCAAAUCCGCUUAUCGUGAAGGCUGAGCUGUGAUGGGGAAGCUCCUUAUGGAGCGAAGUCUUUGAUUCCCCGCUGCCAAGAAAAGCUUCUAGCGAGAUAAAAGGUGCCUGUACCGCAAACCGACACAGGUAGGCGAGGAGAGAAUCCUAAGGUGUGCGAGAGAACUCUGGUUAAGGAACUCGGCAAAAUGACCCCGUAACUUCGGGAGAAGGGGUGCUUUCUUAACGGAAAGCCGCAGUGAAUAGGCCCAAGCGACUGUUUAGCAAAAACACAGCUCUCUGCGAAGCCGUAAGGCGAAGUAUAGGGGGUGACACCUGCCCGGUGCUGGAAGGUUAAGGAGAGGGGUUAGCGUAAGCGAAGCUCUGAACUGAAGCCCCAGUAAACGGCGGCCGUAACUAUAACGGUCCUAAGGUAGCGAAAUUCCUUGUCGGGUAAGUUCCGACCCGCACGAAAGGUGUAACGAUUUGGGCACUGUCUCAACCAGAGACUCGGUGAAAUUAUAGUACCUGUGAAGAUGCAGGUUACCCGCGACAGGACGGAAAGACCCCGUGGAGCUUUACUGUAGCCUGAUAUUGAAUUUUGGUACAGUUUGUACAGGAUAGGCGGGAGCCAUUGAAACCGGAGCGCUAGCUUCGGUGGAGGCGCUGGUGGGAUACCGCCCUGACUGUAUUGAAAUUCUAACCUACGGGUCUUAUCGACCCGGGAGACAGUGUCAGGUGGGCAGUUUGACUGGGGCGGUCGCCUCCUAAAGUGUAACGGAGGCGCCCAAAGGUUCCCUCAGAAUGGUUGGAAAUCAUUCGUAGAGUGCAAAGGCAUAAGGGAGCUUGACUGCGAGACCUACAAGUCGAGCAGGGACGAAAGUCGGGCUUAGUGAUCCGGUGGUUCCGCAUGGAAGGGCCAUCGCUCAACGGAUAAAAGCUACCCCGGGGAUAACAGGCUUAUCUCCCCCAAGAGUCCACAUCGACGGGGAGGUUUGGCACCUCGAUGUCGGCUCAUCGCAUCCUGGGGCUGUAGUCGGUCCCAAGGGUUGGGCUGUUCGCCCAUUAAAGCGGUACGCGAGCUGGGUUCAGAACGUCGUGAGACAGUUCGGUCCCUAUCCGUCGUGGGCGUAGGAAAUUUGAGAGGAGCUGUCCUUAGUACGAGAGGACCGGGAUGGACGCACCGCUGGUGUACCAGUUGUUCUGCCAAGGGCAUAGCUGGGUAGCUAUGUGCGGAAGGGAUAAGUGCUGAAAGCAUCUAAGCAUGAAGCCCCCCUCAAGAUGAGAUUUCCCAUAGCGUAAGCUAGUAAGAUCCCUGAAAGAUGAUCAGGUUGAUAGGUUCGAGGUGGAAGCAUGGUGACAUGUGGAGCUGACGAAUACUAAUAGAUCGAGGACUUAACCAU